rnacentral:tRNA from 1 species
GGCAGUGUAGUAUAAUGGUUAGGGAACUGGGCUUAUAACUCAAAGGUUUUGGGUUCAAUUCCUAGCUGAGGCA